rnacentral:rRNA from 1 species
GAUGAACGCUGGCGGCGUGCCUAAUACAUGCAAGUCGAGCGAACAGACGAGGAGCUUGCUCCUCUGACGUUAGCGGCGGACGGGUGAGUAACACGUGGAUAACCUACCUAUAAGACUGGGAUAACUUCGGGAAACCGGAGCUAAUACCGGAUAAUAUAUUGAACCGCAUGGUUCAAUAGUGAAAGACGGUUUUGCUGUCACUUAUAGAUGGAUCCGCGCCGCAUUAGCUAGUUGGUAAGGUAACGGCUUACCAAGGCAACGAUGCGUAGCCGACCUGAGAGAGUGAUCGGCCGCACGGGAACUGAGACACGGUCCAGACUCCUACGGGAGGCAGCAGUAGGGAAUCUUCCGCAGUGGGCGAAAGCUUGACGGAGCAACGCCGCGUGAGUGAUGAAGAUCUUCGGAUCGUAAAGCUCUGUUAUGAGGGAAGAACAAAUGUGUAAGUAACUAUGCACGUCUUGACGGUACCGAAUCAGAAAGCCACGGCUAACUACGUG